UACAGAGGGUGCAAGCGUUGUUCGGAAUUAUUGGGCGUAAAGAGCUCGUAGGCGGUUUGUCGCGUCUGCUGUGAAAUCUCGGGGCUCAACCCCCAGCCUGCAGUGGGUACGGGCAGACUAGAGUGCGGUAGGGGAGAUUGGAAUUCCUGGUGUAGCGGUGGAAUGCGCAGAUAUCAGGAGGAACACCGAUGGCGAAGGCAGAUCUCUGGGCCGUAACUGACGCUGAGGAGCGAAAGCAUGGGGAGCGAACAGG
rnacentral:rRNA from 1 species